rnacentral:lncRNA from 1 species
AAUUCUGGUUCAGUGAAUAAUUUUCACUCUAAUGAUCACUACAAUGGUGAUCAUACCUUUUUUACUGAGGAUAUUCAGUCUACACAUUCUGAUGUUAAUCAAGCAUCACAUGCUUCUCAUGUUUCAGUUCCUGGUUCUAGUUCUAAUGCUGCAUCUUCUUCCUCAGCUUCAGCACCACAGAUUCAAGACUUCACACCAGAUCAGUUUCAGAAGUUGUUGAAAUUGAUCCAAGGAAAUGAUUCUCAGUUUGUCAAUUCCACACAAAUUAACCAGUUGAGGAUUCAUGAGAAUCCGCACAAUGUCAAUCAGUUUAAUGUUCAGCAUAAAAGUCAUUAAAAUUCACAUGUGACAGGAAAAGGUAGAACCAUCAUUUUAUCCUCUUAUUCUACUUCUGCAAAAGCUUGUAGUUCGUGGAUAUUAGAUUCAGGAGCUACUGAUCAUGUGUGUUCCUCAUUGGACCUGUAUCAUUCUUUUUCCAAGAUUAAACCUAUACAUGUUCAAUUACCAAAUGGUACUCUGGUCAAGGCACACUUGGCUGGUAUUAUUGCGUUCUCCCCCUUAUUAUCCAUCAAAAAUGUCCUUUAUGUACCAGAAUUCAGUUUUAAUAUUGUCUCCACCUCAAAAUUAUGUGAACAUUUGUCAUGUGUUUUUCAAUCCUAUUACUCACAUUCAUUGAUACAGGACCUCAAUUCCCAG